UUCUUGCAUGCUCUGAUAAGAAGUAAUUCCUGCCCAGUGAAUAAAUUUCAACGGCCGCGGUAUCCUAACCGUGCAAAGGUAGCAUAAUCACUUGCCCAUUAAUUGUGGGCUAGAAUGAAAGGACUAACGAAAUAAAAACUGUCUCUAUAAGUGGCAUAAAAAUUAAUCUCUAACUGAAGAUUGUUAGAUACCGUUGAAGGACAAGAAGACCCUAUAGAGCUUUAUUUUAAUAAAUAACUAUAAUUUAUAUAAAUUCGGUUGGGGCGACCAGGGAAAUUAAAUAUCAUCCCUUAAUAGCAGAUAACUCAAUCACACACUUGACCCUUUACCAAAGAUCAUCAAAACAAGCUACCUUAGGGAUAACAGGCUAAUCCCACUAAAGAGUCCUUAUCAAUAGUGGGGUUUGGCACCUCGAUGUUGGCUUAGGGAAUCUAUGUGGCGCAAAAGUCACAUAAAGAUGGUUUGUUCAACCAAUAAUACCCUACAUGAGCUGAGUUCAGACCGGCGUAAGCCAGGUUAGUUUCUAUCCUCAAUAAUUCAUCUAUUUACAGUACGAAAGGACCUAAAUACGGAUAAUAAUUAUAUAUAAAGAACCAAUAUAAAAUAAUAUAAACAACUAUACACCUAUACUAGG
rnacentral:rRNA from 1 species